UAUGGUGAGGGUAGAGGUAUUUGUUUUAAGUGAUACUUUAAGUGAGGCAUUGAACCCCAUGGCUUUGUAUAUACUAAGCAUGUGCUAUAUCACUGGGAUCCAUUAACAGCUGCCACAAGCAAGGCUUUGGAUUAAAAAAAAAAUCCCUCUGCAAGAUACUAAAACUUGAUAUGGUUAAAAAUUCAGCUUUGGACAUCUGUUAAGCCUACCUAGAUGUUUUAGAAGGCAUUUCUAGAUGAAAGAAAUAAUAAUUUUCAGAAGGAUUUCAGGAAGGAAAAGUUAGUGGGUAAGUAGAGAUCUUGCUUGGGGCAUGUGGUCAUGAAGUCUCAUUGAUGGUGUGUUCUAAGGAUUUCUUGAUUACAGUCCUUUCUCCUAUUGUUUGAACUAUAGUAGAAGAAUGUAUGGUCAUGAGUCUGGACAUUAGAGUCAUUCAGUCCUGUAUUUCUGUCCAAACUUUUUUUACCUAUUAGCCAUGCAGACUUUUGAAAACUGACUUAAUCUUUUUAAACUUCGGUUUUCUCAUUUAUAAGUUGGGGCAUUAGUGGCUUUCAUUCAUAAAGGUUAUGCAGAUCAGAUGACAAUACAUAUAGAUGCAACAUAUAUUAAGCUAGGUUGAUAUUGAUUGAUGCUUCUACUGUUGCUACUGUUUGAAUUCUUCCUGAUCCAUCUAUUCUGCAUUGGAUUAUUAUAGCAACAUUCCUACUUAUCACAGCAGUCUCUUCAUGAUUUCCUUUCUUCAUUCACUCUUUAGUAGUCUGUCUUCCAUGUUGUUAUCAGUUCCUCUUUCUGUGGCCUUUAGAUAAUAGAAUAAUGGCCACAGACCUCUUUUCCUAGCUUAAUUAUUAUCACUUAGUGUGUCCUUUCUCUUUUGGCCCCUUGGGAAUCUGAUUAUCUAUUACUCUACAGUUGUGGUUUUCCUUUUCCUCCUCCUCUUCCUUUUUGGCAUCUUCAUUCAGGUUUUUGCUAUGGAACCUGGGCUGGCCUUGAACUUACUCUAUAGACCAGUUCGACCUUGAAUUUGUGACCAGUCGACCUGUCUAGUCCACCUGUCUCUGCUUCCUGAGGACUGAGGUUACAGGUGUGUAACAGCCACCACAGCUAUCUCUCCUCUUUUUUCUUUUCUUUUCUUUUUUUUUUUUUAAUAACCUGCCAGUUCUAGUUACCAUUACAGCUGCAAGUUAAUUAUUCUCUGAGAUCACAAAGAAUUUUGAUUUUGCAUGUUACUGGUUAUUUCAUGCAGGUGAAUGCUUUUACGUUAGAGGCUAAGUCUUUAUUUGUAUGUACAUAAUUUAUGUUAUUUAUUCAUUCAUUUUAAGACAAUAUAGUUCUAGCUAUCCUGGAACAUGUUAUGUUGACCAGUUAUUCUUCCACUUCUGCUUAUGAGUACUGGGAUUACAGACACAUGCAACUGUGACCUGCUUAUAUGUAUAUAUAUACAUAUCUGUGUGUCAGUGUUCUAUUGCUGUGAAGAGACACCACAAUCAUGGGAACUCUUAUUAAGGAAAGCAUUUAACUAGGGCUUGCAUAGUUUCAGAGGUUUAGUCCAUUGUCAUCAUGGUGGGGAAUAUAAUGGGAUGCAGGCAGACAUGGUUCUGGAGAAGUGACUCUCCCUGUCCUAUGUGUUAAUCCACAGGCAGUAGGAAGAGAGAGAGAGACUGAGCCUGGUUUGGUCUUUUGACACAUCGAAGUUCACCCCCAGUCACACACUUACUCUAACAGGGCUAGACCUACUAAUCUCUCCCAAGUAGUGCCAUUCCCUGAUGAACAAGCAUUUAGAUAUGUGAACCUAUAUGGGGCCAUUCUUAUUCAAACCAUCACAAUGUGCAUGUAUGUGUACACAUGCAUAUGUGUGCCUGUGAAGGUGAGAGGUUGCUGUUGGUAAUUUUUCAAUCUUAUUUUGUGGUGUAUGUAUGUAUGUAUGUGUGUGUCUGUGUGGGGGUGUGGGGGUAUGUGUGUGUGGAUAUGUGUUUUGAAGGCCGGCGGUUGCUGUCAGGUGUCAUUCCCAUUUUAUUUACUGAAGGGUAGGUUCUCUUGCUGAACUUCAAGAUCACCAGUUAGGUUAGCUAACUAAUCAGCUUGCCACAGGGAUCCUCUGUCUCUGGAAUUACAGACAAACUGCCAUGUCUGCUUGGCUUUUUUAUGUGGGUACUGGGGAACCUGAAUGUUAGUCCUUAUGCCUGGCAAGCACUUUAUCUAUGAAAUCAUCUCCCUAUGCCCUCUCCAUCUUACUGCUUGAUACAGGGCUAGACAGGCUGGUCAACAACUCACAGGGUUCCUCUUGUCUGUCCUUUUCUAGGACAUAUCCUGCUUUUACAUGUGUGCUGGAGAUUUGAAUGCUGAUCCUCAUUUUGUACAGCCCCACUAUGCUAUUUGACAUAAAUUAUAUCUCUAUUAUAUUUAAGAUGUAUCUGGACAUGGUGGUUUAUGCCUAUAGUCCCAGCACUUGGAAGGCUGAUGCAGGAAAAUUGCCAUGAGUUUGAGGCCACCGUAGGUUCAUAGCAAGUGUCAGAUCAGAUCAGACUACUGAAUGAGACCCUGUCUCAAAAAACUAAAACUCAAACACCAACCAAAUAAGUAAAAAAUAUCUUGCAGUGUAGUGUACUGGACAUUAGAGGUAUAUUUUAAAGAAAUCAGUGCAGUCUUUUACACUCCCAUAUAAUUGUAAGUAGCAUAUACUAUUACCUGCUAAGACAUGCUUUUAGGCCUGUCUGGUGUCUGUCCUGGGUCAAAGAUGCCUUUGGUUUGACACAUUUUGUGAAAAUAGGUGAUUAUGCCAUGUGUCAUCAAAUAUUGCUACAUAAUGUAUUAUGAACUUCCUUCUACUUACACAGAACAAAUAAAACUUUUCUAUAGUUUCAUGAAAUAGGAAAAGCUCUCUAUUCCCUCUGUGGAAACAUUAUACCCGAUCUAGUGUGAUAGCUCUGUUUUAAUCCAUGCACUUAGAGGCAGGAAGGAGGCAGAUCUCCAUGAGCAUGAGGCCAGCCUAUAACAUAGUGAGUUAUAGGAUAGCCAAGGUUAUGUAGAGGGACUCUGUCUCAAAAACAAACAAGAGUACAUUUUAUACACGUUAAGCCAGACAUGGUGUAAUGUACCAUGUCUCUAAUCCUAGUACUUGGGAGGCAGAGAUGGAGGAUCUCUCUGAAUUUGAGGCCAGCUUGUCUACAGGGUAGUCCCAGGUCAGCUAGGACUGCAUAGUGAGGCACUAUUUCAAAUAAAACCAAAACAAACAAACAAAAAAAAAAUCUUGAAACAAAAUAAACAUUUUUAAGAGCUGUGCAUGGUAGCACAUUUCUGAAACCUAAGCACUUGGGAGAUUGAGACAGGAUUGCAAAAGUUUGAAGUCAUCCUAGGCUACUUAGUGUGUAGUUCAAAACAAAACACCCAAAAGCUUUAAAACCCCAAACAAACAAAUUCAUUUGGAUGCUGCCUGGGCUACAUUGUUAAAACGUUUUAAAAAAGCAAAACCAGGAGCUGGAGAUAUGACUUAGUGGCUAAUAACACUUGCUGUUCUUGCAGAGGACCUGUGUUCCAUUCUCAGCACCAGCAUGGUGAUUAUAACCUUCGGUGGCUGUAGUUCCAGUGGAUCUGACACUCUCUCUGGCCAUUGUGGGCACUGCCUGCAAUGUCCAUAUAUUCAAGCAAAACACUCGUAUAUAAAUACAAAUGAAUCUUUAAAAAUAAAACAUAAUAUGCAUUUUAUAGCAAUGUUUUAUUUCCACAAGAAGAGCGAAGAUGUGAUUGUUUUUAUGUUGUUCAUAAACUCAGAAAACCCUAGAAGACACUCAGAUAAAUGAGACAAGUUGUUUAUCUUAGAAAAAUAAAUCAAGGGCUGGAGAGUUGGCUCAGCUGUUAAGAAUACUUGUCACUCUCCAGAGGACCUGGCUUUGGUUUCCAGCACCCACACAAUGGCUUAUAACAAUCUGGGUCACAGGCUCAGGGAAUCCAGUGAACUCUUCUGACCUCCAUGGGCACUGUGCACCUGUGGUAAACAUAGACACAAGCAUGUAAAAACACUCAUACACACAAAAUAAGUAAAUCUU
rnacentral:lncRNA from 1 species